rnacentral:rRNA from 1 species
AUUGAACGCUGGCGGAAUGCUUUACACAUGCAAGUCGAACGGCAGCACGGGGGCAACCCUGGUGGCGAGUGGCGAACGGGUGAGUAAUACAUCGGAACGUGCCCAGUCGUGGGGGAUAACGUAGCGAAAGUUACGCUAAUACCGCAUACGAUCUACGGAUGAAAGCGGGGGACCGUAAGGCCUCGCGCGAUUGGAGCGGCGGAUGUCAGAUUAGGUAGUUGGUGAGGUAAAGGCUCACCAAGCCGACGAUCUGUAGCUGGUCUGAGAGGACGACCAGCCACACUGGGACUGAGACACGGCCCAGACUCCUACGGGAGGCAGCAGUGGGGAAUUUUGGACAAUGGGCGCAAGCCUGAUCCAGCCAUUCCGCGUGCAGGACGAAGGCCUUCGGGUUGUAGACUGCUUUUGUACGGAACGAAAAGACUCUGGUUAAUACCUGGGGCUCAUGACGGUACCGUAAGAAUAAGCACCGGCUAACUACGUGCCAGCCGCCGCCGUAA